GACGUAGGGACCGAGCGUUGUCCGGAUUUAUUGGGCGUAAAGCGCGCGCAGGCGGCCGUGCAAGUCGGAUGUGAAAAUCCGGAGCUCAACUCCGGACCUGCAUUCGAAACUGCACGGCUAGAGGCAGGUAGGGGAGAGGGGAAUUCCCGGUGUAGCGGUGAAAUGCGCAGAUAUCGGGAGGAACACCGGUGGCGAAGGCGCCUCUCUGGGCCUGUCCUGACGCUCAGGCGCGAAAGCUAGGGGAGCGAACAGG
rnacentral:rRNA from 1 species